rnacentral:misc_RNA from 1 species
GAUGAAGAACGUAGCGAAAUGCGAUAAGUAAUGUGAAUUGCAGAAUUCAGUGAAUCAUCGAAUCUUUGAACGCGCAUUGCGCCCGCCAGUAUUCUGGCGGGCAUGCCUGUUCGAGCGUCAUUUCAACCAUCAAGCCCCAGGCUUGUGUUGGGGACCUGCGGCUGCCGCAGGCCCUGAAAACCAGUGGCGGGCUCGCUGUCACACCGGGCGUAGUAGAUUUUAUCUCGCUCAGGGCGUGCUGCGGGUUCCGGCCGUUAAAAAGCCUUUUUUACCCAAGGUUGACCUCGGAUCAGGUAGGAAGACCCGCUGAACUUAAGCAUAUCAAUAAGCGGAGGA